rnacentral:rRNA from 1 species
CUCGGAGUUUGAUCCUGGCUCAGGAUGAACGCUAGCGGCAGGCCUAACACAUGCAAGUCGAGGGGUAUUAGGAGCUUGCUCCUAAGAGACCGGCGCACGGGUGCGUAACGCGUAUGCAAUCUACCUUGUACAGGGGAAUAGCCCAGAGAAAUUUGGAUUAAUGCCCCCAUAGUGUUAUUGAAUCGCAUGGUUUAAUAACUAAAGUUCCAACGGUACAAGAUGAGCAUGCGUCCCAUUAGUUAGUUGGUAAGGUAA